rnacentral:rRNA from 1 species
GAUUGAACGCUGGCGGCAGGCUUAACACAUGCAAGUCGAGCGGGGGAAGGUAGCUUGCUACUGGACCUAGCGGCGGACGGGUGAGUAAUGCUUAGGAAUCUGCCUAUUAGUGGGGGACAACAUCUCGAAAGGGAUGCUAAUACCGCAUACGUCCUACGGGAGAAAGCAGGGGAUCUUCGGACCUUGCGCUAAUAGAUGAGCCUAAGUCGGAUUAGCUAGUUGGUGGGGUAAAGGCCUACCAAGGCGACGAUCUGUAGCGGGUCUGAGAGGAUGAUCCGCCACACUGGGACUGAGACACGGCCCAGACUCCUACGGGAGGCAGCAGUGGGGAAUAUUGGACAAUGGGGGGAACCCUGAUCCAGCCAUGCCGCGUGUGUGAAGAAGGCCUUAUGGUUGUAAAGCACUUUAAGCGAGGAGGAGGCUACUUUAGUUAAUACCUAGAGAUAGUGGACGUUACUCGCAGAAUAAGCACCGGCUAACUCUGUGCCAGCAGCCGCGGUAAUACAGAGGGUGCGAGCGUUAAUCGGAUUUACUGGGCGUAAAGCGUGCGUAGGCGGCUUAUUAAGUCGGAUGUGAAAUCCCCGAGCUUAACUUGGGAAUUGCAUUCGAUACUGGUGAGCUAGAGUAUGGGAGAGGAUGGUAGAAUUCCAGGUGUAGCGGUGAAAUGCGUAGAGAUCUGGAGGAAUACCGAUGGCGAAGGCAGCCAUCUGGCCUAAUACUGACGCUGAGGUACGAAAGCAUGGGGAGCAAACAGGAUUAGAUACCCUGGUAGUCCAUGCCGUAAACGAUGUCUACUAGCCGUUGGGGCCUUUGAGGCUUUAGUGGCGCAGCUUACGCGAUAAGUAGACCGCCUGGGGAGUCCGGUCUCAAGACUAAAACUCAAAUGAAUCGUCGGGGGCCCGCACAAGCGGUGGAGCAUGUGGUUUAAUUCGAUGCAACGCGAAGAACCUUACCUGGCCGUGACAUACUAGAAACUUUCCAGAGAUGGAUUGGUGCCUUCGGGAAUCUAGAUACAGGUGCUGCAUGGCUGUCGUCAGCUCGUGUCGUGAGAAGUUGGGUUAAGUCCCGCAACGAGCGCAACCCUUUUCCUUAGUUGCCAGCAUUUCGGAUGGGAACUUUAAGGAUACUGCCAGUGACAAACUGGAGGAAGGCGGGGACGACGUCAAGUCAUCAUGGGCGUUACGGCCAGGGCUACACACGUGCUACAAUGGUCGGUACAAAGGGCUGCUACACAGCGAUGUGAUGCUAAUCUCAAAAAGCCGAUCGUAGUCCAGAGUGGAGUCUGCAACUCGACUCCAUGAAGUCGGAAUCGCUAGUAAUCGCGGACUCAGAAUGCCGCGGUGAAUACGUUCCCUGGGCAGUUGUACACACCGCCCGUCACCCCAUGGGAGUUUGUUGCACCAGAAGUAGCUCUCCUACCUGCAAAGAGGCCGGUUUCACGCUGUGCCCGAUGACUGGUGUGA